rnacentral:sRNA from 1 species
GUGCGUGCGGCUAGAGCCUCAAGCGUUUCCUCCGCCCGGCUUCAUCGCUGCCCGGGACCCAGCGUCGCUCUCCUGCGCGAGGCGGCCAAGGCCUGCUGGCCAGGAGCCGCCCCUCCACCCGCGCGAGGUAUCGUCCUUGGAGAAGAUGGAAGCGGAGAGGCGGCCGGCGCCGGGCUCGCCCUCCGAGGGCCUGUUUGCGGACGGGCACCUGAUCUUGUGGACGCUGUGCUCGGUCCUGCUGCCGGUGUUCAUCACCUUCUGGUGUAGCCUUCAGCGGUCGCGCCGGCAGCUGCACCGCAGGGACAUCUUCCGCAAGAGCAAGCACGGGUGGCGCGACACGGACCUGUUCAGCCAGCCUACCUACUGCUGCGUGUGCGCGCAGCACAUUCUGCAGGGCGCCUUCUGCGACUGCUGCGGGCUCCGCGUGGACGAGGGCUGCGUCAGGAAGGCCGACAAGCGCUUCCAGUGCAAGGAGAUUAUGCUCAAGAAUGACACCAAGGUCCUGGACGCCAUGCCCCACCACUGGAUCCGGGGCAACGUGCCCUUGUGCAGUUACUGUAUGGUUUGCAAGCAGCAGUGUGGCUGUCAACCCAAGCUUUGCGAUUACAGGUGCAUUUGGUGCCAGAAAACAGUACAUGAUGAGUGUAUGAAAAAUAGUUUAAAGAAUGAAAAAUGUGAUUUUGGAGAAUUCAAAAACCUAAUCAUUCCACCAAGUUAUUUAACCUCCAUUAAUCAGAUGCGUAAAGACAAAAAAACAGAUUAUGAAGUGCUAGCCUCUAAGCUUGGAAAGCAAUGGACCCCAUUAAUAAUCCUGGCCAACUCUCGUAGUGGAACUAAUAUGGGAGAAGGACUGUUGGGAGAAUUUAGGAUCUUGUUGAAUCCAGUCCAGAGUCUUGCUUUGUUGCCCAAGCUGGAGUGCAGGGGCAUGAUCUUGGCUCACUGCAACCUCUGCCUCCCAGUAGAGACAGUAUUUCACCAUGUUGGCCAGGCUGGUCUCGAACUCCUGACGUCAAGUGAUCCACCUGCCUUGGCCUCCCAAAGUGCUGGGAUUAUAGGCAUGAGUUACCACACCUAGCCUUGUAUUUUAGCACUUAAUUACCUG